GCUGAUUUUAAUUUUAAUUUUGUAAAGGCAGGGUCUUCCUAUUUUCCCCAGGCUGAUCUCUAACUCUUGGCCUCAAGCAAUCCUUCCUCUUUGGCCUCCCAAAAUGUUGAGAUUACAGAUGGGAGCCCCCAUACCCACCAAUCACAAGGAUCUUUAUAAGAGAAAGAGGUAGGAGAGUCAGAAUUAGAGAAAGUGAUGUGGUAAUGGAAGAAGAGGUCAGAGAGGGAGAUUUGAAGAUGCUGCACUUCUGGCCUUGAAUAUGGAGUCACGAGGUAAGUCAAGGAAUGGGGGUGGCUUCUAGAAGCUGGAAAAGGCAAAGGAGCACAUUCUGUCUAGAGCCUCCCCCAGAAGGAAUGCAGCCCCUCUGACACCUUGACUUUAGCCUUAAUAGACCUAGUUGGGUUUCUGGCCCCCAGAACUGUAAGAUGGUAGAUUUGUGGUGUUUGAUGCUACUAAAUGUAGGGUACUUUGUUGUAGCAACAACAAAAAAUGAACAUGAAGCUGGGACCUCAUGUUACAGUUGCUCACGCCUGUAAU
rnacentral:lncRNA from 1 species